rnacentral:rRNA from 1 species
GACGAACGCUGGCGGCGUGCUUAACACAUGCAAGUCGAACGGAAAGGCCCUGCUUGCAGGGUGCUCGAGUGGCGAACGGGUGAGUAACACGUGGUUGAUCUGCCCCUUACUUUGGGAUAAGCCUGGUAAACUGGGUCUAAUACUGGAUAGGACCAUGCUGUAGUCGGUGUGGUGGAAAGAUUAGUUUCGGUAGGGGAUGACCUCGCGGCCUAUCAGCUUGUUGUUGGGGUAAUGUCCUACCAAGGCGUAGACGGGUAGACGUUCUGAGAGGGUGGACAGCCAGAUUGGGAGUGAGAAACGACACAGAGAACUACGAGAGGCAGCAGAAGGGAAUAUUGCACAAUGGGCGGAAGCCUGAUGCAGCGACGGCGAAUGAGGAAUGACGGCAUUCGGGUGGUGAAAUACUUUCAGACAUGACGAAGCACUUGUGGUGAAGGUAGUAGUAGAAGAAGCACCGGAGAACUACGUG